rnacentral:rRNA from 1 species
AUGGCAAUGCAAGACCAUCCUUCUCCGUGUGGCCGCCACCCCCAAAUCCUGCUGGAUAGAAAAUGUUUAGUGGGCCAGUUGGAAAAUUCCACUACCGCGAAAACCAAGAAUAGCAAAGGGCAUCACUUGGAGGUUUCUUUUAAAGCAGUUGACCCUCCAGCUAUCUCGUUGUGCCUCGUCAGCUGCGUUGAUCAGACAGGGGAGCUCUUGCCAGUAGAUCCUCAUAUACUUGGUGAGGCUGGAGGGUCUGUACUGCUGGCUUUCACUUUCUUCGGGAGUGUCCACCAUUUACCAUUCACCGACUAUUUCGUUUACAAAGCAGGGCCAAAUUUUCCCUGUCUUCAUCUUAUUCCAAGGCCAUAUCCAUCUUCUUUUGAGGCAAAUUUGGUUGCCAUCCUGCCUGUUAAUGAUAACAGUGAAGACUUUGCUGUCGUUUUUCCCCAUGUUGAAUAUUUCGUGCUCGAGUCUCGCAAACAUUACACACUCCACAUUUAUCGAUCUGAUGCAAAUGAUUGGCACACUCAGGUGGCUAAUAUCGCCGAGGAUAAUGAAACAAGGAAAGCUAAGCGUAAGCUAUUGCUUCAUGAUGCCAUGAGCGUGGCAUAUGCAGAAAAUGGUAUCAUAGGUUGGAUUGAUCUUUGGUGGGGAAUUCUCUUAUGCAAUGUCUUGGAUAAAAAGCCUAUCAUCCGUUUUGUUCCAUUGCCAGUACCUGAACCAUGUGAUGCUUCUGAAUCCCAUUUGACGUUUGAGAAUCUCACCCCAAGACCACACCGUCAUGUGACAAUAUUCAAUGAUUUGAUCAAGUUUGUUGAGUUAGAUUUUCAUGUGCAAGAUGCUUUCUGCAACAUGAAGCGAGGAAAAGAUUAUGGUUGGAUGGCUAGGACCUGGAGUAGAUCGAUUUAUUCAGAUAUUUGGCAUGAUGGUCUGACGUUUGAUACAUCUGAGUUAUCUUUCAGUGAUUCAAGUUUGCCGAAUCUUUUACCUGAGAUGUUUGAUGACAAAAACAGUUUGACAUGGGGGAAUUUGACCAGUGCUGGGCCUACAUUAAGCUUGCACGAUGACAAUGUUAUUUACAUUAUGGCGAAGGAGAGCAUGUGCCACCGGACAGCAUAUGUACUUGCUGUGAACGGUAAAAGUUUGAAGCUCGAGUCUGGUGCGCAUUGCUCUGCUGAAAACAUGUUGUGGUUCGAACCAACCUAUGAUCCGUGUGUUCUUUUUAGGUCUUUUGGCACAACUUCAGAGUCGGUUAAAGAAUUUGAAACCAAAGGGACAAUAUCUGAAACCAAGGAAGGGCCGGCUCUCUCAGUGGUGUCGAAGCGUCUUCGCGCGCUGCGGAAGAAGCAGGAUCGCAUUGCGCGGAUGGAGGAGUCGGUCGCCGCCGGCAAGGUGCUUAACCAGGACCAGAAGGAGGUGAUGCAUUCCAAGCCCACCAUCGCCGCGCUCAUUAACGAGCUCGAGCGCCUCCGCGUGCCACUCUCCACUGCCCUCACCAAGGAGCUCUCCACCGUCCCUGCACCUGCUGCCGGUUCCUCAUCCUUCGGCUCCAAUUUGUCCAUCCAAGACCUCCUCGCGCUUGUCUACUUUGGCUCCCUUUUUUAUGUCAAGUCACCAGACGAGUUCAUCACCACCAUGGUUGCACGCAAGCACGAGCGGAGCAGCUGCAUCACCUACGGCUAUGUAUGGGAUGAUACCGUGGACCUGCUUACGGAGAACGACCUUGAUGCAGUGUCUGCCGUGGCGGCCCUUGCCACGGCUCGCCCUGCUUCUGCGGUUGGCGUCUCCCACCAUGACGCACUCCAGGCCUGUGCCCAUCAUGCCCGCCUAUGGCUCACCCGUGCUAAUGCACCGAUCCACCCUGGCUCCUCUGUUACAUAUGCUGCGGUGAGGUCCAAGUUAGACAGGAUCAUGGCAUCGGACUACUACACAGCGCACCAUGGAGCUGAAAGUGUGCAGGCACUGAUGAGCAUGACUGUCUCACCAGAGGCACCAUCACUUAAGGAGUACAUAGCUGCUGAAGGUCACAAGGAGGAGGAGGAAGACUCCUCGCAUGCCACAGAAAUCUACAAUGGUCAUCAGUCUAAUGCAGCCGAUGUGCAAAAUAUGGUAUACACAAAGAGGGAGAAUUCCGCAGCUGGAAAUCUGGACCUCGAAAAGCUACGUCAGGCUACCUAUUCUGCACAACUCCAAACAAGCUAA